ACAGAAACAGCUUCCCUAUGGUACCCAGCAGUGUGCAAGAAAGACGCCUGCUGAGAGCAACAGCUGGAAUGGAAAGGACUGCAAGAAGAAGCAAGGAGAGUCCUGUCUGUCGUUGGUGGAAUCAGGCCUGAUGUCUCUCCCCAAGGAGAUACCCAGGAGGCAGCAAACCAGCUAGUGACCGGGAGGCAGCCAAAAGGAAAAGUCAAAAUAGUACUUUUCUUUUCCCUACUGAUACCCUUAGCAUCUGUCAGUCUUCUCUGAGGGCUCACUUAUCUUUCCUUUUCUUCCUUUGAUCCACUCAGUGGCUCAUCCCUUCCUUGAAGUUUCCACCUCUACUCCAAGACCACGAUCGAUCGAGGAGAACAGUUCCGGAGGCUGGAAAUCUGAGAUCAAGGUGUCAACAAGGCGUCCGGACACCAGAAUCCAUUUUGCAACUCCCUUGCAGUUUUUACUGGUGAUGCAUAAAGCCCCAGCUAGAGACGGCCAAUUCCAGAGAUAACAUUAUCUUAAAACAGACCAGACCACAGGAAGUGAUGUCAGCCCUCGGACCUGCCUGACCAACUCAACCUUUCCUUUGUUCUUCAUCUUGUGUACCUUUAAAACCUUCUGACAGAUCUAGGAAC